ACAAUUAUUAAGUUUUUUUUAAAACACACCAUGUAUAUAACUAUUUAGUAUAUUUAUUUUGUAGGUUUCAUAUUAUUCUCAAAACAUAAACCAAACUGCUACUUGUUCUAAAGUUUCACAGGCACAAAACCAUAUGAAAGACCAGCCGCCAACAUUAUGAAAACAUGAAUCAUCGAGAUAUGAGAAGAAUGGUUCAUCCAUCAUCAUAAAGACAUGAAGUUUUAUUUUUCUGUUUUCAUUUGCUUAUUUCAUUUGUAAGGAUUGUGAUGUUAUUGAUGCUAAAAGAUUUGUUAUUUAAUAAUACAAGACUUUGGAGUAAA